rnacentral:rRNA from 1 species
UACGUAGGGUGCGAGCGUUGUCCGGAAUUAUUGGGCGUAAAGAGCUCGUAGGCGGUUUGUCGCGUCGACUGUGAAAACCUGGGGCUUAACUCUGGGCGUGCAGUCGAUACGGGCAGACUUGAGUUCGGUAGGGGAGACUGGAAUUCCUGGUGUAGCGGUGAAAUGCGCAGAUAUCAGGAGGAACACCGGUGGCGAAGGCGGGUCUCUGGGCCGAUACUGACGCUGAGGAGCGAAAGCGUGGGGAGCGAACAGG